rnacentral:tRNA from 1 species
GACGGUAUAGUUUAAUUUGGCAAAAUAAUAAUUUCAUGUGUUAUAGUUAUGGGUUCAAGUCCCUUUACCGUCA